AGAAGCAGUGCUGUCUGUCCAAGCGUGCAGAGGUGUUCAGCUGCGAACUCAAAGCAAGGCAAACAGCAUCCUCCAACUGCAAACUAGUCACCUGAGUUGCAAAGAUCUUUUUCAGCACAAAUCUGAGGACACGGUAAAAAUCUUUGGUAUUUUUAACAGAGUGAUAUUAUGGCGGCAGCAGCACCUGGUGA